UACAUGGGGUGCAAACGUUGCUCGGAAUUACUGGGCGUAAAGCGCACGUAGGCGGCUCUUUAAGUCGGGGGUGAAAUCCUGGAGCUCAACUCCAGAACUGCCUUCGAUACUGUAGAGCUUGAGUUCGGGAGAGGUGAGUGGAACUGCGAGUAUAGAGGUGAAAUUCGUAGAUAUUCGCAAGAACACCAGUGGCGAAGGCGGCUCACUGGCCCGAUACUGACGCUGAGGUGCGAAAGCGUGGGGAGCAAACAGG
rnacentral:rRNA from 1 species